UUGAGCCGAGGAUGAUGUAGUUAUCCCUGGCUGAAAUGGCAUCUUUUGUGAAGGAUUGUGGUUUCCUGAGGCUCAA